GCUCUGAGGGCCUCAACGUCACCGCUGCAACAUCUUCGCUCAAUGUGACCAGUGGACCAGUACAAACCAGCAGCCUGCACCCUCUCUACAACAUCUCCUACACGCUGUAUUCCCCCGUGGGGCUUCUUCUCUGCCUCCUCGUCGGCGUGGUUGUCACCUACGCCGUCGGCUGUCGGACCACGGAAAAAGUCGACCCUCAGCACAUUCUGCACUGCCUCAGGCCCAGAGCUGAACGCAGAAGCGAGACACUUCGUCUCAAGAAAUCGGUUUAGCCUGCAAGGAUGAGGCACAUCCCAGGACACACAGGCCCCAUCACACACCAGACUUCAUGAAUAUUUGUGUCUCAGUAGGAAGGCAGGAGAGUUAGUCGUAUUGUGCGUGAUAUGCUGAGGGUAUACGAUAUAUUGAUCCAUUAUAACCCUCUUGUCUGUCAACAAAUUUCUAACGAGAUGCGCGCCCAUCUUAAUGUCAGUCAUUAGUGUCAUAUAUCAGCCGACCAUCUAAAUUUUGUAAAUGAAUUUAUAAUAUCCA